UAAUUCCAGCUCCAAUAGCGUAUAUUAAAGUUGUUGCAGUUAAAAAGCUCGUAGUUGAACCUUGGGCCUGGCUGGCCGGUCCGCCUCACCGCGUGUACUGGUCCGGCCGGGCCUUUCCUUCUGGGGAUCCUCAUGCCCUUCACUGGGUGUGCUGGGGAACCAGGACUUUUACUUUGAAAAAAUUAGAGUGUUCAAAGCAGGCCUUUGCUCGAAUACAUUAGCAUGGAAUAAUAGAAUUGGACGUGCGGUCCUAUUUUGUUGGUUUCUAAGACCGCCGUAAUGAUUAAUAGGGAUAGUCGGGGGCAUCAGUAUUCAAUUGUCAGAGGUGAAAUUCUUGGAUUUAUUGAAGACUAACUACUGCGAAAGCAUUUGCCAAGGAUGUUUUCAUUAAUCAGUGAACGAAAGUUAGGGGAUCGAAGACGAUCAGAUACCGUCGUAGUCUUAACCGUAAACUAUGCCGACUAGGGAUCGGGCGAUGUUAUUCUUUUGACUCGCUCGGCACCUUACGAGAAAUCAAAGUCUUUGGGUUCUG
rnacentral:rRNA from 1 species